rnacentral:piRNA from 1 species
GCAAGGAGGAGUAUUUGAAUUUAUG